CUGUUUAACUGUGUGCCUCUCUCCAUCCUUUAAUGACCCCUGAUGCCCACAUGUCUCAUGAGUGAAGAUGUCCCCACCCCAGAUGCCCCUUCCCAAGGUGUGCUUUCAGGACUCAGCUCCUAGACAGGGACAGUCAGCCAUUAGGGAUAGGGUGGGACCAGGGCAGGGGCUCUCCUGACUCCUGAUACCUGUUCGCCUGCCCCCCAGCGUUACUGCCACCUGCUAUAGGUGACUGAGAAGUGGGCCUAGGGCACCUUCAGACUCAACCCCAAUGAUGAGGACAUCCACACAGCCAGCGAGCACCACCUGAAGGUAAGAUCCCUGCAGCCCCACUGCUUUCCUGGCCUCCCGUCUUCACCUGGCCCUGGGCCACUUGGAGCAUUAGCACCAUUGUUCCAUUUACUUCACCAUUGGCAGACAGCAGUGACGAUCUCAGGACAUGGCCAGUUGCAGUGGCUCAUGCCUAUAAUCCUAGCACUUUGGGAGGCUCUGGUGGAAGGAUCACUUGAGGCCAAGAGUUUGCAUGGGCAACAUAACAAGGUUUCAUAACUACAAAAAAUUGAAAGAAAAAAAUGAACAACAGGGCUAAGCAGAAUUGGUGAGAGAUUUGGGCAAGACCUGGGGCCCUUGGGUAGGGAGGGAGGUUGGCAGGGCUGAUGAAAGCUGCCCUGCCUGGAUUGACUCCUCUGGGCAUCUAGACUGUGACCCUGGGCCUCCCUUCACUUCCAAGAGCUCAUUAGCAAAACUGCUGGGAAGCUGCACACGGGAUGCAGCUGGAAUGACCAGGUGCCUCUAGCCCCUCCAACCCCCUGCUUUUUGCUGUCCCAAUGUUGGGGAGCCCAGGGGGCAGUUAGAGCUCAGCAGGGUCCUGGCUCCCCAGGGAAGCAGCUCAUCAGCCUCCCUGAGCAUCACCUCCUGCUUGCACAGGUGGUCAUGGAGCUUAGACUAUGGAUGUGGCAGACCUGCUCGAUGCUCUCCGGCCUCUUGUGGGAGCCCAUCAGGACCAUGGUGGAUCCCACAGAGGGAACAUGACAUCCUCUUCCUAGGUUACACCCACCUGCAGAGGGCCCAGCCCCAUCACUGGAGCCACUGGAUUCUGAGGUGAGCUGGGUGAGUUGCUGGGGCUGUACUGGAUGGGAGGACCCUGGCUGUCCUGACCCUCCUGCCCCUGGCUUUCCACAAUGGUGCCAUGGUGCUGACCCUAGACUCUGAGCAGCUGCUGGAGGUUCGGAAGCUGAUUGGUGUCCUGCCCCUGGGGAGGUGGGUGA
rnacentral:lncRNA from 1 species